rnacentral:lncRNA from 1 species
UAGUUUUCUUAACUACCCCUACCUCGAAUGAAAGGUUACCACAUAUUUGUACAUGUUUAUUCACUGGUAACAUUCCCAUGUAAUGUCUCUGUGAGAUGGAACACAGAGAGCAUAACUGGGAACCAGUAUGUAAACAAAAUUAAUUUUCUAUGAAUACUCAAGAUCUCCCCAAAUGAGGCGUGUUUUGAGAAACAGGUGUAUUUACAAAGUGCAACCUCAAAUUAUUGACUGAUAACACAAUCAAUAUUUUACCAAUACAAACAAUAUACAAAUAUCUAAUUACAGUUUAAAGAAUAAGAUUAUUUAAAGGACGAAUUUGGUCAAGGCAAUUUACGAAAAACAAAUAUGACGUUUUCUUAUUUUAAAGCAAAUACUAAAAUCAUCACAUGAUCUACAAUAGCAACCAAUCUAGUUGUUUUUCAAGAUUCACCAAUGUAUUUGAUAACAUUUACAGAUAUGUUCACUUGUUGAAUCUCACAUGUUUAAUUAACUUCAAUUUGACACCAUAGCAUGCUUUGUUAUGUUUUGGACAUUGUUCACUGUAAUUAAAUUUAGAGUUGUAAGACUAAUAAUGUACCCAUAUGUCGAACAGCGUCUUCUGUCAUGGUCGUGCGCCAUUAUUCAAACGAAAGCUAUUUUUCAGAACAUCACAAAAAAGUAUACCUAUGGUCAUUUUCAC